rnacentral:pre_miRNA from 1 species
UAUAAGUACAGCCAUGGUUUUCCGCGCCCAACUUUAACCAUCCAUCUUAUUUGAAAAAUUUUUAAAAAAAUUUAAAAACAUAAGUCACGAGUAAAGUACUAUUUAUAUUUUAUCAUCUCAUAACAAUAAAAAUACUAAUUAUAAAAAACUUUCAAAUAAGACGAACGAUCAAAGUUGGGCGCGAAAACUUAUGGUUGCACUUAUA